UACGUAGGGUGCGAGCGUUGUCCGGAAUUAUUGGGCGUAAAGAGCUUGUAGGUGGCUCGUUGCGUCGGGAGUGAAAACCUGCGGCUUAACCGCAGGCCUGCUUCCGAUACGGGCGAGCUAGAGUUCGGCAGGGGAGACUGGAAUUCCUGGUGUAGCGGUGGAAUGCGCAGAGUAUCAGGAGGAACACCGGUGGCGAAGGCGCCACUCUGGGCCGAAACUGACGCUGAGGAGCGAAAGCGUGGGUAGCAAACAGG
rnacentral:rRNA from 1 species